rnacentral:tRNA from 1 species
GUUGGGGGCGUAGCUCAGAUGGUAGAGCGCUCGCUUAGCAUGCGAGAGGUACCGGGAUCGAUACCCGGCGCCUCCAAUAUGAGAAUAGCACGUAUUU